UGAUGAUAGACGUCCCUCCAGUUAGGAAUUGAGGCGGGGCUCUAUCUGACUUGCUGCAGCUUCUAAUGUACAUUGUGAGAAGCUCACGGCGUGCAGUGAAAUCAGAGGAAGUCAUUUCAGUCCAGGGGUGGAGCCGGUACAACUGUGCCAGACUAUAGGGAAGGCCUGGAGGUCAGAUUGAACCCUUCCCUACUCUGUCCAAAACUAAGGGAAGCUUCAGCUAAUACAAACAAUUUCAAAACCAACAUGUCUUCUCCAAUAUCACCACUAGGUGGUGCUGGUAAUCCCAUGUAAAACACUCCGUCACAGAUAUUGCCACUAGGUGGUGGUGAUGAUAACCUAGUUCUAACUCUCCUCCAAUCUUACCACUAGGUGGCAGUCGUGUCCCAGUUGGAAUACUCCUCUGAUGUUACAGCCAGGUGAUAUUGAUAAUUUGAUUAGAACUCUCCUACAGUUUUACCACUGGGUGGCAGUGGUAAUCCAGUUACACUGUCCUUCUCCAAUCUUACCACUAGGUGUCCCAGUUGGAAUACUCCUCUGAUGUUACAGCCAGGUGAGAUUGAUAAUCUGAUCCAAUCUUACCAUUAGGUGGCAUUGGUAACCCAGUUACAACUGUCCUUCUCCAAUCUUACCAUUAGGUGGCAGUGGUAACCCAGUUACAACUGUUCUCCAAUCUUACCACCAGCUGGUAGUGGUAACCCAGUUACAACCGUCCUUCUCCAAUCUUACCACUAGGUGUCCCAGUUGGAAUACUCCUCUGAUGUUACUGCCAGGUGAGAUUGAUAAUCUGAUUAGAACUCUCCUCCAGUUUUACCACUGGGUGGCAGUGGUAAUUCAGUUACACUGUCCUUCUCCAAUCUUACCAUUAGGUGGCAGUGGUGACCCAGUUACAACUGUUCUCCAAUCUUACCACCAGCUGGCCGUGGUAAUUCAGUUACACUGUCCUUCUCCAAUCUUACCAUUAGGUGGCAGUGGUAACCCAGUUAUAACCGUCCUUCUCCAAUCUUACCAUUAGGUGGCAGUGGUAAUCCAGUUACAACAUUUCUUCUCCAAUCUUACAACCAGUUGGUAGUGUUAAUCCAGUUACAACUGUCCUCCUCCAAUCUUACCAACAGGUGGCAGCGAUAAUCCGGUUACAACUGUCCUCCAAUUUCACCACUAGGUGGCAAUGCUAAACCAGUUACAACUGUCCCUUUCCAAAUCUUAGCAUUAGUCAAUGGUAAUCCAGUUACAACUAUCCUUCUCCAAUUUUACCACCAGGUGGCAGUGGUUUACAACCAAUUGACAAUGGUAAUCCAGUUACCACAGUUCUUCUCCGACUUUACCACCAGGUGGCAAUGGUAAAUCCAGUUACAACUGUCCUCCUCCAAUCUUAUUAACACGUGGCAGUGAUAAUCUGGUUACAACUGCCCUCCAAUUUUACAACCAGUUGGCAGUGGUAAUCCAAUUACAACUGUUCUCCAAUCUCACCACCAGGUGGCAGUGGUAAAUCCAGUUACAACAGUCCUUCUACAGUCUUACCACCAGGUGGCAGUGGUAAAUCCAGUUACAACAGUCCUUCUACAGUCUUACCACCAGGUGGCAGUGCUAAAUCCAGUUACAACUGUCCUUUCCCAGUCUCACCACCAGGUGGCAGUGGUAAAUCCAGUUACAACAGUCCUUCUCCAGUCUCACCACCAGGUGGCAGUGCUAAAUCCAGUUACAACAGUCCUUCUCCAGUCUUACCACCAGGUGGCAGUGGUAAUCCACUUACAGUCCCAGUCCUGGAACAGUGAGAUUCCUCUGGUUUUGCACUCGGUCAUAUUGAAGACUGUCUCUGUAUGUUCUGUAAUUCCUCUGUUUAUGUAAAUGUGAAAUGUUUAUAAAAUGAUUGUACCAA